AAGGUGGAGUGCACCACUUUCAAGGUAUAACUGAGGCAGGCUCCAGACCACUGCUGAGACAGCCAAGCUCCACACACCAGAGUGCUGCGCCAUGCCACACUGGUCUCCCUUGGCAUCGGCCACCAGAGGCUCUGCCCUGCUGGAUGGAGGACUUUGCCUGCCCUGCUGCUCACCCAGCUCCGGAGAUCCUUCUUUGCAAGAUGCUGACAACACCCUUGUCCACUGUGCUGUCUGCCAGGCCUGCAGACUGAGAGUCUGGGAUUCAGAAAAUAAAACAUUUGCGGAGCCUCUUACCUGGUCAGUUAUGCAACCAGACGACGUUGUGUACUGACACUUCUUAACUCACCCCUGCCUGUCAGAAGUGUCCUAAGAACCAAAAGUCUUGGGAUGGACCCUGCUCAUGCCACUCAAAAACACCACUGCCACCACCACCACCACACCCACCACCCCCUGACUCUCAGAGUUCUGGAAGUAAUGCGCUUUUCAUAGAUUAAAGAUAAUCUCAAUCAAAAUCCUUUGAAAAAAGAAGAGGAUGGGACUGAGGGUGGCCAAAACGAUUUUGAAAAAGAAGACCAAAUCUGGAGAAGUCAGGACUUGACCACCACCUGAUUCCAAGACUUGGUCACCACAGUGCAGUGCCAGUGAAGUAGACGUGCACAUCAACGGAAUAGCAUGAGGAGUCAGAAACAGACCCUCCCAUAUAUGGCCAGUUGAUUUUUCACAAAAAUGCCAAGGUAAUGAAAUGGAGAAAGAAUAAUAUUUUAAACAGAUGGUGCUGGGACAAUUCGACACCCAUAUGCAAAAUAAUAACCCUUGAACCAUAUUUCAUGCCAUAUAUACAAAUUAACUAAAAAUAGAUUAUACAUUCAAUGCAAUGACAAUACUUCUAGAAAAAAACAUAGGAGAAAAGUCUUUGGGACCUUAGAUUAGGGAAUGAUUUCUUGGAUAUACAUCAAAAACACAAACCACACAUUUCUCACAACUAAUUUAUGAGAAGGUAUAUUAGUUGAAUUCCUUUUUGAAUAUAA